CAUGUACUCCCUCCGUCCGAAAAUACUUGUCAUCAAAAUGGAUAAAAAGAGAUGUAUCUAGAACUAAAAUACAUCUAGAUACGUCUCCUUUUAUUCAUUUUGAUGACAAGUAUUUUCGGAUAGAGGGAUCUU
rnacentral:pre_miRNA from 1 species